rfam:Dipodomys ordii contig_48160, whole genome shotgun sequence.
GGGAGUAUGGCUUAGUGGUAGAGCACUUACCUAGCAUGCAUGAGGCCCUGGUUCGAUUCCUUAGUACCA